rnacentral:tRNA from 1 species
GCCUGGGUAGCUCAGUUGGUUGAGUGUCAGAUUCUUGGUUUUGGCUCUGGUCAUGAUCUCAAGAUUCGUGGGUUCAAGCCCCAUAUCAAGCU